rnacentral:rRNA from 1 species
AACCAGAAGACAACGUGGCGGCAUGCCUCAUACAUUGCAAGUCGAACGAGAUCUUCGGCAUCUAGUGGCGCACGGGUGCGUAACGCGUGGGAAUCUGCCCUUGGGUUCGGAAUAACUUCUGGAAACGGAAGCUAAUACCGGAUGAUGACGUAAGUCCAAAGAUUUAUCGCCCAAGGAUGAGCCCGCGUAUGAUUAGGUAGUUGGUGAGGUAAAGGCUCACCAAGCCGACGAUCCUUAGCUGGUCUGAGAGGAUGAUCAGGCACACUGGGACUGAGACACGGACCAGACUCCUACGGGAGGCAGCAGUAGGGAAUAUUGGACAAUGGGCGAAAGCCUGAUCCAGCAAUGCCGCGUGAGUGAUGAAGGCCUUAGGGUUGUAAAGCUCUUUUAACCGGGAUGAUAAUGACAGUACCGGGAGAAUAAGCUCCGGCUAACUCCGUGCCAGAAGACGCGGUAAUACGGAGGGAGCUAGCGUUGUUCGGAAUUACUGGGCGUAUAGCGCACGUAUGCGGCUAUUCAAGUCAGAGGUGAAAGACCGGGGCUCAAACCCGGAACUGGCUUUGAAACUAGAUAGAUUGAAUCCAGGAGAGGUGAGUGGGAUUCCGAGUGUAGAGGUGAAAUCAGAGAUAUUCGGAAGAAAACA